rnacentral:rRNA from 1 species
CUUGUUGGUGGGGUGAUGGCCUACCAAGGCGACGACGGGUAGCCGGCCUGAGAGGGUGACCGGCCACACUGGGACUGAGAUACGGCCCAGACUCCUACGGGAGGCAGCAGUGGGGAAUAUUGCACAAUGGGCGCAAGCCUGAUGCAGCGACGCCGCGUGGGGGAUGACGGCCUUCGGGUUGUAAACCUCUUUCAGCAGGGACGAAGCGCAAGUGACGGUACCUGCAGAAGAAGGACCGGCCAACUACGUGCCAGCAGCCGCGGUAAUACGUAGGGUCCGAGCGUUGUCCGGAAUUACUGGGCGUAAAGAGCUCGUAGGUGGUUUGUCGCGUUGUUCGUGAAAACUCACAGCUCAACUGUGGGCGUGCGGGCGAUACGGGCAGACUGGAGUACUGCAGGGGAGACUGGAAUUCCUGGUGUAGCGGUGGAAUGCGCAGAUAUCAGGAGGAACACCGGUGGCGAAGGCGGGUCUCUGGGCAGUAACUGACGCUGAGGAGCGAAAGCGUGGGGAGCGAACAGGAUUAGAUACCCUGGUAGUCCACGCCGUAAACGGUGGGUACUAGGUGUGGGUUUCCUUCCUUGGGAUCCGUGCCGUAGCUAACGCAUUAAGUACCCCGCCUGGGGAGUACGGCCGCAAGGCUAAAACUCAAAGGAAUUGACG